rnacentral:rRNA from 1 species
GACGAACGCUGGCAGCGUGCUUAACACAUGCAAGUCGAACGAUGAAGCGGUGCUUGCACCGUGGAUUAGUGGCGAACGGGUGAGUAAUACGUGAGUGACCUACCUUUGACUCUGGGAUAAGCCUGGGAAACUGGGUCUAAUACCGGAUACGACCAAUCUCUGCAUGGGGUGUUGGUGGAAAGCGUUAUGGAGUGGUUUUAGAUGGGCUCACGGCCUAUCAGCUUGUUGGUGAGGUAAUGGCUUACCAAGGCGACGACGGGUAGCCGGCCUGAGAGGGUGACCGGCCACACUGGGACUGAGACACGGCCCAGACUCCUACGGGAGGCAGCAGUGGGGAAUAUUGCACAAUGGGCGCAAGCCUGAUGCAGCGACGCCGCGUGAGGGAUGACGGCCUUCGGGUUGUAAACCUCUGUUAGCAUCGAAGAAGCGAAAGUGACGGUAGGUGCAGAGAAAGCGCCGGCUAACUACGUGCCAGCAGCCGCGGUAAUACGUAGGGCGCGAGCGUUGUCCGGAAUUAUUGGGCGUAAAGAGCUUGUAGGCGGUUGGUCGCGUCUGCUGUGAAGGCCGGGGCUUAACUCCGGUUUUGCAGUGGGUACGGGCUAACUAGAGUGCAGUAGGGGAGACUGGAAUUCCUGGUGUAGCGGUGGAAUGCACAGAUAUCAGGAGGAACACCGAUGGCGAAGGCAGGUCUCUGGGCUGUAACUGACGCUGAGAAGCGAAAGCAUGGGGAGCGAACAGGAUUAGAUACCCUGGUAGUCCAUGCCGUAAACGUUGGGCACUAGGUGUGGGGGACAUUCCACGUUUUCCGCGCCGUAGCUAACGCAUUAAGUGCCCCGCCUGGGGAGUACGGCCGCAAGGCUAAAACUCAAAGGAAUUGACGGGGGCCCGCACAAGCGGCGGAGCAUGCGGAUUAAUUCGAUGCAACGCGAAGAACCUUACCAAGGCUUGACAUGCAUUAGAUCGCGUCAGAGAUGGCGUUUCCCUUCGGGGCUGGUGUACAGGUGGUGCAUGGUUGUCGUCAGCUCGUGUCGUGAGAUGUUGGGUUAAGUCCCGCAACGAGCGCAACCCUCGUUCUAUGUUGCCAGCGGUUCGGCCGGGGACUCAUAGGAGACUGCCGGGGUCAACUCGGAGGAAGGUGGGGAUGACGUCAAAUCAUCAUGCCCCUUAUGUCUUGGGCUUCACGCAUGCUACAAUGGCCGGUACAGAGGGUUGCGAUACUGUGAGGUGGAGCUAAUCCCUUAAAGCCGGUCUCAGUUCGGAUUGGGGUCUGCAACUCGACCCCAUGAAGUCGGAGUCGCUAGUAAUCGCAGAUCAGCAACGCUGCGGUGAAUACGUUCCCGGGCCU